UACGGGGGGGGCAAGCGUUGUUCGGAAUUACUGGGCGUAAAGGGCUCGUAGGUGGCCAACUAAGUCAGACGUGAAAUCCCUCAGCUUAACUGGGGAACUGCGUCUGAUACUGGAUGGCUUGAGUUUGGGAGAGGGAUGCGGAAUUCCAGGUGUAGCGGUGAAAUGCGUAGAUAUCUGGAGGAACACCGGUGGCGAAGGCGGCUCUCUAGACCGAGACUGACGCUGAGGCGCGAAAGCGUGGGGAGCAAACAGG
rnacentral:rRNA from 1 species